GACGAACGCUGGCGGCGUGCUUAACACAUGCAAGUCGAACGGAAAGGCCCUGCUUUUGUGGGGUGCUCGAGUGGCGAACGGGUGAGUAACACGUGAGUAACCUGCCCUUGACUUUGGGAUAACUUCAGGAAACUGGGGCUAAUACCGGAUAGGAGCUCCUGCUGCAUGGUGGGGGUUGGAAAGUUUCGGCGGUUGGGGAUGGACUCGCGGCUUACCAGCUUGUUGGUGGGGUAGUGGCUUACCAAGGCUUUGACGGGUAGCCGGCCUGAGAGGGUGACCGGCCACAUUGGGACUGAGAUACGGCCCAGACUCCUACGGGAGGCAGCAGUGGGGAAUAUUGCACAAUGGGCGGAAGCCUGAUGCAGCAACGCCGCGUGCGGGAUGACGGCCUUCGGGUUGUAAACCGCUUUCGCCUGUGACGAAGCGUGGGUGACGGUAAUGGGUAAAGAAGCACCGGCUAACUACGUG
rnacentral:rRNA from 1 species